rnacentral:rRNA from 1 species
AAGUCGAACGAAGUAGCAAUACUUAGUGGCAGACGGGUGAGUAACAUGUAGGUAUCUUCCCUUUGGUGAGGAAUAACACGAGGAAACUUGUGCUAAUACCUCAUAAGUCUUUACGGAGAAAGCUUUAUGCGCCAAUGGAUGAGCCUGCACUUGAUUAGUUUGUUGGUGGGGCAAUGGCCUACCAAGACAAUGAUCAAUAGCUGAUUUGAGAGGAUGAUCAGCCACAUUGGGACUGAGACACGGCCCAAACUCCUACGGGAGGCAGCAGUAGGGAAUCUUGCACAAUGGGGGAAACCCUGAUGCAGCAAUGCCGCGUGAGUGAAGAAGGCCUUUGGGUUGUAAAGCUCUUUCGUCGGGGAAGAAAAUGACUGUACCCGAAUAAGAAGGUCCGGCUAACUUCGUGCCAGCAGCCGCGGUAAUACGAAGGGACCUAGCGUAGUUCGGAAUUACUGGGCUUAAAGAGUUCGUAGGUGGUUAAAAAAGUUGGUGGUGAAAUCCCAGAGCUUAACUCUGGAACUGCCAUCAAAACUUUUUAGCCU